rnacentral:lncRNA from 1 species
UGAAACUGCAUCUUCUCUUCAGCCCUGAGAACCCAGUGAGGCUGGCCUUUCUGUCCCGAGUUUUCAAGAACAUUGGACAUGAUGGAGAAACAAGGUGGCACAAUAUCAAGAUUUGUGUUGAUACCUCAGUGCUACAUAUCACUUUCCAUCUUUGCACUCCUGUGCUGCAGGAGGAGACAGUGCAGGAUGAUAGGUGGGCAGAAUUCAACUAAAGGUCUCAGGACUGAAGGAGCAAACCCCAUCUGCAGCAUGGCUGGAGGAACAUGGGCUCAGGAGGAGAUGACCAGGGUGCAAUGGAGGAUCCUCUGCUUUCACUGCAGGUUGCUCACACGCUUCCGUUCAUCCCUCAGCUCUAAGGUGAGUAGCUGGCUGUGUCCUGAACACAGUUAACAGACACCAGCAGUUUCCCCAAAUAUUUAACUACUGAGUAGAUCCAUGGGCUCCUCUCCCUCGUG